rnacentral:rRNA from 1 species
GACUAACUCUGGCGGCUUGCUUAACACAUGCAAGUCGAACGGAGUGGCGAACGGGUGCGUAACACUUGGGUUAUCUUCCUUGCACUUCGGUAUAAGCUUGGGAUACUGGGUCUAAUACCGGAUAGUGCAAGAUGAGCUCGCGGCCUAUCAGCUUGUUGGUGGGGUAAUGGCCUACCAAGGCGUCGACGGGUAGCUGGCCUGAGAGGGUGUACGGCAACAGUGGGACUGAGAUACGGCCCAGAGUCGUAAGGGAGGCAGUAGUGGGGAAUAUUGCACAAGGGGCGGAAGCAUGAUGCAGAGACGCGGCGUGGGGGAUGAAGGCCUGCGGGUUGUAAAAUCCUUUCGACAGGGACGCGGUACCUGUAUAAGAAGAACAGGCUAAAUACGUGCAAGCAGCCGCGGUAAGAC